rnacentral:rRNA from 1 species
ACUGCUCAGUAACACGUGGAUAACCUGCCCUUGGGUCCGGCAUAACCCCGGGAAACUGGGGAUAAUUCCGGAUAACGCACAUAUGCUGGAAUGCUUUAUGCGUCAAAUGGAUUCGUCUGCCCAAGGAUGGGUCUGCGGCCUAUCAGGUAGUAGUGGGUGUAAUGUACCUACUAGCCGACGACGGGUACGGGUUGUGAGAGCAAGAGCCCGGAGAUGGAUUCUGAGACAUGAAUCCAGGCCCUACGGGGCGCAGCAGGCGCGAAAACUUUACAAUGCGGGAAACCGUGAUAAGGGGACACCGAGUGCCAGCAUCAUAUGCUGGCUGUCCGGGUGUGUAAAAUACACCUGUUAGCAAGGGCCGGGCAAGACCGGUGCCAGCCGCCGCGGUAACACCGGCGGCCCGAGUGGUGAUCGUGAUUAUUGGGUCUAAAGGGUCCGUAGCCGGUUUGGUCAGUCCUCCGGGAAAUCUGACGGCUUAACCGUUAGGCUUUCGGAGGAUACUGCCAGGCUUGGAACCGGGAGAGGUAAGAGGUACUACAGGGGUAGGAGUGAAAUCUUGUAAUCCCUGUGGGACCACCUGUGGCGAAGGCGUCUUACCAGAACGGGUUCGACGGUGAGGGACGAAAGCUGGGGGCACGAACCGGAUUAGAUACCCGGGUAGUCCCAGCCGUAAACGAUGCUCGCUAGGUGUCAGGCAUGGCGCGACCGUGUCUGGUGCCGCAGGGAAGCCGUGAAGCGAGCCACCUGGGAAGUACGGCCGCAAGGCUGAAACUUAAAGGAAUUGGCGGGGGAGCAC